rnacentral:rRNA from 1 species
GCUUGUCUCAAAGAUUAAGCCAUGCAUGUAUCAGUACACGCCUUAACAAGGUGAAACCGCGAACGGCUCAUUACAACAGCUAUAAUCUACUCGAUCUUGAACAGUUACUCGGAUAACUGUGGUAAUUCUAGAGCUAAUACGUGCACCAAAGCUGUCCCUUGCGGGGCAGUGCAUUUAUUUGAGCAAAACCAGGCGGCUUCGGCCGUUUUUGUUGAAUCAGAAUAACUAAGCUGACCGCAUAGGCUUGUCCUGGCGGCGUGUCGUUCGAGUGUCUGCCUUAUCAACUUUCGAUGGUAGUGUAUGUGACUACCAUGGUUGUGACGGGUAACGGAGGAUAAGGGUUCGACUCCGGAGAAGGGGCCUGAGAAAUGGCCACUACGUCUAAGGAUGGCAGCAGGCGCGCAAAUUACCCACUCUCAGCGCGAGGAGGUAGUGACGAAAAAUAACAAGGACGUUCUCUAUGAGGCCGUCCAUUGGAAUGGGUACAACUCGAACCCUUUAACGAGUAUCAAUGAGAGGGCAAGUCUGGUGCCAGCAGCCGCGGUAAUUCCAGCUCUCAAAAUGCAUAGAACCAUUGCUGCGGUUAAAAAGCUCGUAGUUGGAUCUGUGCCGGCGCCGUGGUCCACCCUCUUGGGUGGUACUGCGUGCGUCGGCUUUGGGCCGGUCUUCGUCUGUCGGCCUUCGGGUCGUUCAGUCGUGGCUGGCUGGUUUACUUUGAGCAAAUCAGAGUGCUCAGCACAGGCGUUUCGCCGGAAUGUUCGUGCAUGGAAUAAUAGAAAAGGAUCACGGUCCUCUUUUAUUGGUUUUGUGGACUGAGAUAAUGGUUAACAGAGACGAACGGGGGCAUUCGUAUUGCUGCGUGAGAGGUGAAAUUCUUGGACC